AAAUUCAUUUCCCUCCAAACUAAAGUAAUCCAAAGUUUGAUUUCCCUCCUCUUAACAAAAUUCAUUACCCCCAACUUUUCAUUAUUUUCUUAGUCCCAUCCAAUCUUAAAUCAAACACUAAUCAAUUCAAAUGAGAAACCCUAGCUUCAUUUUACAUAUUCAGCCGUCAACAACACUCCCACUCUAUUUUCUCUAAAUCGGAACCCUAAUACCUUAUAAUUGAGGAAAGACAGUGGAUAUGACAAUGAAGGUCGAAUGUGAUAUCGUGAAUGUGGGUGUGCAUGGAAGGUGGCUGUUGAUGGUGGGUAAGAGCUGCGGAAAGAUGGAGGAAGCACCGGACACCGGAGUUUUGAGGAGGCGAUUCUGAUUCCAGGCGUUCUGUGUGACGUUGUGGGUUUGAAAUUCUGGUCGGCAAGGCCGGAUGGUGGUCAAUGAGUAGGCCACAACAUCUUAAUCAGCAAGUUCGUGCGCUAAGUUCGUGUGCUGGAGAUAGCAAUAGAAGUACCAACACUUGCCAUUAUUAAUCUUAAAGAUACUUCAAAUGAGCAGGACAACAAAGUUGGAUCAACAGUAAGUCCUACACUCCUACCAAAAAAGUAGCCGUGGAUCAACAGUAAGUCGUACGAAAAAAGUAGUAAUCCUUAGAACAUGAACUUGUAUUAAAGUUUUUACGUCCGGUCACAAAUGCCUUUUUGGGUGGAACUUUAAUAGUCAAGGUUUUGACAUUUUUUAUACCAUUCAGGUUGUGCCUUGCUACCGCUGCUCAAGUAACAGUUGCAAACCCACCCAGUAUGGAUUUGGACCUACUUGUAGACACUACUUUCUAGAGAAGCGACCCCCAAGGUAUAUCUAGAGGUUUUUGUCAAAGGAUCAAUGUAAGUUUACAGAGAGUCAAUAAUUGAUCAUUGUCCUUUUAAGUAUAAAUAAAACUAUAUUUCCAAUUACAUGCAGUAAAUGCUGCCGGAGCUUUUUUACAUGGGCUAGAGGAUGAAUAUUAUAAGGUAUUACUGAUGCACUGCAUUUGCUAUAUUAAUUAUUAUCCAUAUACUUAGGAACGGGUCUAUUUGGGCUAUAUUUAAUCUAAAAUGGGAAAAUUUAAACACAUUAUUCAUAAAUGAAUCAAUUUAAAUGCGCCUAACUAGAUAUUAAUUUUCAUUUCUUUUACUGAUAUUUAAGUGAUGCAAGUCCUCUAUAAUUAACUUAUUUGAAUCGCCAUGCAUAUUUGUUUUGUUGAGGCGCUAUUUAUAUGAAAAUGAUGACCAGGUCAGUGGUACAUUUAGUCUUUUCAUUUCUCUAAAUAAAGGAAGUAACUAACAAACCGACCCAAGCCACGCUAGAAACUAACCAAUUGGCAUUAUGUCACAUGGCUACAACAUAUAUAAAUUUAAUUGUAGGUGAUGGUCCGUUGAUGGGCUAAAAGGCAUUAGAACUGGCCACCAGUUACAAGUUUACUCACUACCACAACACGAGCAAGGUGGCCACCAGUCCAUGAAUGCAAAUUUGCAGCACUUUGAAGUCCAAAAGCAGUGAGUAUACAUGGACUCGAAGAAGGCAGUCUAGAAACAACUGUUAGAUUUUGUGUACAUUUAUUCUCCUUUGCAACUUUUGUAGAUAGGUUUUGAUUAGAAGUUAUGUCUUUCAUUGGUAUUUAAACUGAAAAGUUAUGUAUGGAUUUUUGGUUAUUAUUGUUAAUAUCAUUUGUUUAUAAAUU
rnacentral:lncRNA from 1 species